UGCAGUCGAACGAGAAUUCCGAGCUUGCUCGGAAGGACAGUGGCAGACGGCUGAGUAACACAUGGGAACAUACCCUGAACACGAGGAUAGCUCACCGAAAGGUGGGGUAAUACUCGAUAGUCUCUUCGGAGUAAAGCUUUUGCGGUUCAGGAUUGGCCUGUGUCCUAUCAGGUUGUUGGUAAGGUAACUGCUUACCAAGCCUAUGACGGGUAGCUGGUCUGAGAGGAUGAUCAGCCAGACUGGGACUGCGAUACGGCCCAGACUCCUACGGGAGGCAGCAACUAGGAAUCGUGCACAAUGGACGAAAGUCUGAUGCCGCGACACCGCGUGAUGGAUGAAGGUCUUCGGAUCGUAAACAUCUUUUUAGGGGGAACAAGUUCUGAGUGUACCCCUAGAAUAAGCGCCUGCUAACCACGUGCCAGAAGCAUCGGUAAUACGUGGGGCACAAGCGUUAUCCGGAUUUACUGGGCGUAAAGAGAUGCGUAGGCGUCCUUGUAAGUUUGGUGUUAAAUCUCAAUGCUCAACAUUGAAACUGCAUCAAAAACUAUAAGGAUUGAGUUUGGUAGAGAGGAAGGGAAUUCCUGGUGGAGCGGUUAAAUGCGUUGAUAUCAGGAGGAACACCAAUGGCGAAGGCACUUCCUUGGACCAAUACUGACGCUAAGGCUCGAAAGUGUGGGGAGCAAAACGGAUUAGAUACCCGUGUAGUCUACACCGUANACUAUCUCUGUUAGAUGUUUGUUCUAUUCCUUGGAUUCUACUUCGGUAGGGUAUCAAGCUAGAAUGAGUGUCGCAGCUAACGCGUUAAACAGAGCGCCUGGGGAGUACGGUCGCAAGACUAAAACUCAAAGGAAUUGACGGGGACCCGCACAAGCAGUGGAGCGCCUGGUUUAUUCGAUGAUCAGCGAAGACCUCACCUAGGCUUUGACUGU
rnacentral:rRNA from 1 species